rnacentral:rRNA from 1 species
AACGAACGCUGGCGGCGUGCCUAACACAUGCACGUCGAACGGAAUUAAGGGGCUUGCUCCUUAAUUUAGUGGCGCACGGGUGAGUAACGCGUGGAUAAUCUGCCUGAUGCUCAGGGAUAACAUCUCGAAAGGGGUGCUAAUACCUGAUAAGCCCACGGACUCUUUGGAGUUUGCGGGAAAAGGUGGGGACCUUUGGGCCUUCCGACAUCAGAUGCGUCCGCGUCCAUUAGGUAGUUGGUGAGGUAAUGGCCCACCAAGCCUGCGAUGGAUAGCCGGACUGAGAGGUUGGACGGCCACAAUGGAACUGAGACACGGUCCAUACUCCUACGGGAGGCAGCAGUAGGGAAUAUUCCGCAAUGGGCGAAAGCCUGACGGAGCGACGCCGCGUGAAUGAAGAAGUCCUUCGGGAUGUAAAGUUCAAUCGGCCGGGGAAGAAUGGUUUUCAUACUAAUAAUAUGAGAGCAGAGACGGUACCCGGAAUGAAGCCACGGCUAAUUACGUGCCAGCCGCCGCGGUAAGAC